rnacentral:rRNA from 1 species
AGAGUUUGAUCAUGGCUCAGGACGAACGCUGGCGGCGUGCUUAACACAUGCAAGUCGAACGGAGCACCCUUGACUGAGGUUUCGGCCAAAUGAUAGGAAUGCUUAGUGGCGGACUGGUGAGUAACGCGUGAGGAACCUACCUUCCAGAGGGGGACAACAGUUGGAAACGACUGCUAAUACCGCAUGACGCAUGACCGGGGCAUCCCGGGCAUGUCAAAGAUUUUAUCGCUGGAAGAUGGCCUCGCGUCUGAUUAGCUAGAUGGUGGGGUAACGGCCCACCAUGGCGACGAUCAGUAGCCGGACUGAGAGGUUGACCGGCCACAUUGGGACUGAGAUACGGCCCAGACUCCUACGGGAGGCAGCAGUGGGGAAUAUUGGGCAAUGGACGCAAGUCUGACCCAGCAACGCCGCGUGAAGGAAGAAGGCUUUCGGGUUGUAACUUCUUUGUCGGGAGAGUAGAAGACGGUACCUGACGAAUAACCCCGGCUACUACGUGCCAGCAGCGCGGUAUACGUA